AUGUUCCAGUUUGAAAAAUUAGCACAGCUUUCGAACAGUUAGCACAGUUUUCGAACAGUUAGCACAAUUUUUGAACAGUUAACACAGUUUUCGAACAGUUAGCACAGUUUUUGAACAGUUAGCACAGCUUUUGAACAGUUAGCACAGUUUUCGA